UAUUUAUACUCGUUUUUCAUUCUAAAAGCGUGAAGACCGUUUGUAUUUGUAUAUGCAAGGCCUGAAGAUGGCGGGUUUGUUUAUGUUGCCGAAGGCGUUCGACAAAAUGGGGGAUGUUGGCCACAACUGUGUUUGGAGUUGGAUCUGUUACUUUCAAAUAACGUACAGGUUUAACAUGAGUACAAGAAGAAAGGACGGAAGGGUUUCAACACGGGGUCGGACUUGUCAUGAAAACUCGGGAAGUAACCCAAUUUUUACAGAAGAAAGUGUGGACUUACUGUGCCUAUAUAAGGGCAUAGUCUGACCAUAGAGGUCAAGAAUGUCAUCCCAAUAUCUCACUGCUGUCAUACUACCAUCUGCAAACACAUGGGAUAUCAGAGCAUCCACCCAAGGAAAAGCCAACUCAAAUAAAACAGAAACAGCACUAAGGCAUAAAAACAAAAACCAAUUAUAUGUGCAAAUAAAUUAAAUCUCAAUUGAAAGCCAAACUCAUACUGUCAUACCUCCACCACAAAAAGCAUGGCACUUGAUAGUGUUAACAGCAUGGUAGUUGGUCUCAUCCUCUUUCUGUACCCUCAGUCAUCUGUUUAUCUGAUUCCAAGGAAAAUUGAGACUAUAUGUAAAUAGGGCAAUGCUUCAUUGAUCUUGGGUCCAGUUAUUGUUACAUUUAUACUCAUCUGCUUUCACAUUUCCAUUUAACAUUAAAAUUUCAUUAUUGCUUUCUUCUCAGCCAUAGCAUGUGCCUCUUCAUGGCACCAUGCAUCACCAUUCUUACACUAUAGAAUAAAUCCAGCUCUUGUAGCAAGUAAAAAUUUUGUUUUGUAUUUAGCAUAACGUUUUCGAACUGCUAGAAGUCCCUCCUCAAUGCCAAGAUAUAUGUAGGAUAAUUACACUUACCAAGAACACAAUAGAACAAUCAUUGCGUUCAUAAAUUCUGUUCUAUUGCGUUCUUGGUAAGCAGUCCAAAAACGUUAUGCCGAAUAAAAACCAAGUUUUUACUUGUUGUGGGAGC
rnacentral:lncRNA from 1 species